GGCCGUGCUCUACGUGUGAGCCCUGCCGGGCCCGAACCCGCUGCUGCGGGCUCUGCCGCUGUCACUGCGGCAACAGAGGUGCCGCGGGCGAUGUUUUCUCUGUAAGCAAAGCAAAGGGUGUGGAUCGAGGGCUGGAAAAGCACCAUCAAAGCGGCUCCUUCCUACGUCUGAGCGCCGAUCCGGUCACAGUUAAUCGGCGAACGUCACGACGGCUCUCUGAACAAAACGCCCUUCAGGGAAUCGCCAGAACCGGAGCGAUGGCCGCCUGCAGUGACAUCGAUGGGGGGCGGAUUUGGUGCCCCGAGACGUGUGCGAGUAAGAGCUCAGCCCCGCGCUGAUGGAAACGCGCUCACAGCCCGGUACGGUUUCACCGGUUUACAAACGCCGUCCAUUAAAACACGAUUAUUACCAAACGGCUUCUUUCUAUGCGAGAUCCUCAAAUCCGUUGUUUACAUUGCACCUAUAUUAACAAACCACAAAAUAAGCCCGUAGCGUUUUUAAGAGAGGUUUUAGGCUGGGAACGUGGAAACUUGCCUGGACGAAACGACACGGAAGCUGAAUGAAGGCGAGGAGAUUAUCUGUGUCUGAAGGUUGGGCAUUAGCCGCAAUGAAAAGAUUGAUUUUUCCGAUGCUUUUUCCCCCCCCAGACGGUUAUUUCCAAGGCUGCUGGCAGUGUAAGCUCACUCUCUGAGCAGAUACUGAAGCCCGUGUGUUGUAUGUAAGGGUGCUAUUCAAGGAGGAGGCGCUCAGUGCCGCAGAGUGCCUGCUGGCUUCGGGUGCACGUGUUCUUACAGCAUCACUCGCACUCGAAAAAUACUUGUUAUUCGUGCUCAGAAGUUACUCGAGCAUGACUUGCAGUGGAAAAUUGUGCAAAAAUAAUGUUUCUUUGCGAUAACUGAUCCCAGUCUGGUGUUUCAUAGCUGAUAGCCUGGAAACUUGCCUGUGCAGAGUCCCUCCCCGUCAGAGAUGUUCCACGAUGCUGAAGGAAACAGCGGUGAGGAGAAGAGGCGGAUGUGCAGGGGUUGUUCACAUGCUGAAAGCUUUGAGUCACAGCAGCUCUGACGCUUUUCUGAAGAAAUAGUUCUGCAAUCGUUACAGUUGCCACCCAAACCCUACCCUGGGUGUUCUAUGGCUUACAGCAACCUCCAAACUCGCACUGCGUGUAGUGUGAAUGCUGUGUCAGGUAAGCGUGUGUAAGUCAUCCUACAGCAGCCGGUCUGGCAAAACACGUCUGAUUUGGCGGUCAAGGAGGUGAGUCCCAAAACACAGCAAGCGAGGAGCUGGCUGUUCCGUUUGGGCUAACGGGCAUUUUCCUUACCUACAGCCCAGCUGACUGCCAGCUCCCGGCUCAUCCCCCGAUUAGGCGCUGAUGGGCGUUUUCUGAGCUAUUUACUAAGAGCUGAACAUAAACCACAAGUGCUUUUGAAUGCUGACCUCUCAUUUAUGUUACUUUCCGAACUGAAUAGCAUCUUAUGCGCAUUAAAAUAGUUUUUAAUAGAUGCUUGAACGAUAAUCAUGUAUGCAUCUUGUUCUCUUCUCCUUUUGGUCAACGCGAAAGCCGGGCUGUUGGAUGCUCCCAUUUGUUGGCCAGGAGUUCUCCUCAGGGCUGCUGGGCCCCAGCAGAGUGCUGGGCUGUGCAUCGGACCCCAGAGAGGUUCAGGAGCUCCUGCUGUUGUUCAACCUCCUCUGGCUUUGGCCGUCGGAGGUGUGUUACUGCCACAGCUGAGGUGGAAGUGCCACUGCGAGGACUUUCGUUGUCCUUGUUUUGUGAUGUUCUUAACUCCGUGACGUGGUGUGAAAGUUCCCCAUUCAUGGGUGUGAAAAUGCAUUCAGACUUGAUGCUAUCAGUCCCAGAAGUUCGAAGUACUGCUCGUUUCUCAUUGGAUAAGCAUAUAGACCACACAUUCCAUAACUGAAUGUCCUCUGCUAAGUUCAGGGGUUACUUGAAAUUAACGCUCAUUAUUCACUAGUAUUUGCACUAGUAAAGUACAAGUGCUCAAAUAUUUGCAGAAAGCAAAAGUGAAGCAGCUGUAAACAUGGCUGAAUUUGCUUCUGAAUUUUAAUGCAUAUUUGCAGAAUUUUGGUUUAGCUGUAAUGUGUGCGUGUCUAUGGUACAGAAAGCUUGUAAAUUCUGGUGCUUUACACUUCCCAGUGUGUAAACUGCAGCUAAGCCCGCUGGAUUUAACUUUUAUAUCCUUAGUUUAAAUGGAAAAAUACAGGCGAGUUUGAAAAAAACAAAAACAAAACCCUUAAAAAAUACACAGAGCAUCAGAAUCUUUACAUAACCACAUCGAUUAGUGGUCUGUAACCUUCGCUGGCGAGUGGGUACUGAUGGAAUAGUGUGUGGUUAACUCUUUCGUCCCCAGCAGGAGCAACGUGAAGAUUGAAUCCCAGGAUCCACAGUUCAGGAUGAGGUCUGUAAGUCACUAUUUCUCCCUUUGGUUCCAGAGAAGUGAUUCUCUGAAUGGAAGUUAAGGAAUUUGUGACGGUCUUCAGGAAGGUUUGCCUUAGCCAGAUGUUGUAUUUGCAGUGUGAAAACAGGCUGUGUGGGAGAGCCAUGACUUGGAGUGGGGAAGGAGGAAUGUAUCAGGCUUAACACACAGCAUAUGCUCUCCUUGCAGAAUGGAUUGGGUGACUCUGGGUCUGUAUUGACUGCUUAAUCGUAGUGUUUCUAGUCUGGGGGUGGGUACACUGUUAGGUCAUGGUAACAGUGAUGAAUUUGAAGAGGAAGAGUGGCCAUUUAUUCAUCCUACUUUUCUCCCUCUCUCAAAGGAAGAGGAAGCAAUCAGGAUAGAUAGAGAGUUGUGCUUGGAAGCAGUGAAAGAAAGCUGGUAGUAUUCUAGAGAGAUGUGAGGAGCAGAACUCAGGAAAGAGUGUUGGAUUUCAAAGGAGAACAGGUUGAUAAGAGCUGUCAAGCUUGGCCAGGGCAAGCUGUGUGGGUACUGCUGGAUGAUGCUCUCCAGAGACAGAGUGUGGCAUUGGUCAGCCACCUUUCAGCAUCCUCAGUGCAGGGAAUUUCUGUUUAGUUUUGCUGUUUUCUUAAUCCCAAUGGACCAGGAGAUAUCUGGAUGACAACAGUUUCCCAGGUUUCUAUGAAGGUCUUACAUCUGUUUUCCCAACACAUAAAAAAAGAUUUGCUCUUAUAUUUCUGCUCGGGGUUUCUGAUGCUCCCCUCUGCUGUCACUGCUUUUACAGAGCAAAAGUAGCCCAAGGAAUCUGGAAGAUGAUGGACACAGUGUGUACUGCAUGCUCCCACUGAGCUUAUGGACAGCCAGAAAAGCUGUAGAUGAAGUGGAAGAGUGAUGGUCUGCUGCCAAGAGCUGCAGCAUUGGAGAAUGUGUCUGUGGCAUUCAUGUGGUCAGAAAGUCAUACCAACUGUCUCCUCCCCAGACUCACAGAUUCUUCUCAGAAAGGGUCAUGUUUUCUGUUUUCCAGGCAUUUAAACACAUAGAAGGCAUUUUCUUGUUUCCUUGCUUUCCACAAUUCUGCAAGCAGAGUUUAUAUAUACAUACAUACAUAUAUAUAUAACCAUUUUUGAACUUACUGCGCUUUCCUUCUACCCCUUGAUCUUUAUUGUUUCAGUAGAUCCCUUUUCAUUCUGUUGUAUGGUGUAUAUUUUUUAGGUUAAGAAGCUGUACUUAAUUCUUAUUUCAGAAGAUGGCUCUUCUCAGAAUGAAAAGCAGAUUGCUAUGAAGGCAAUGAUUUGAUCCUUGUGGUUUGCUGUGAGCCUCGUAGCCUCUAGUGUAAACCUAUUGGAUCUUGUUUAACAGAGAAGCAGAGAAAGUACCACCCAUGCAAAUGCUGCUCAGAAACACCUACCAGGGAGAAAAAAGCUUCUGUAAGUAAAAGUAUUGUAUGACCUCUCAUUAUUAAAACAGACGCAGUGUAUUUGAGGGUAUAUUUAUACUGUGUUGAUUCUUAGAAGUUCCACUCAUUGACCAACAGCCACUCUUCUGGUUGUUGCAGUGUCAGGUGGGCACUGCCAUCCUGUUGUGCUCUCUUUAUGUGUGUUGCAAUCUUUAUUUUUUACUAAGGGAUUUACAAAAGCAGCUGACAUCCUGACAGAACCAGACAGUUCUAAAAUAUUACGGUUAAUAGAAAGUAACCAUAUUGUUCAUUGGGUCUGGAAAAAUAGAAAUUAGGAAAAUAAGGUCUUUCUAACGAAUGUUUUGGAUUGUGUACAGUCCAUCAAGGUAUCUCCUAUUAGAUGAGAUGACCCCCAGUGAAGAUCUUAUCCCUUCACGAAUUUGGAAUAGUUAUGGUUGGACCGGAUAAGAAAAGAAUACCUUUCUAUCAGAGAGCCCAUAAUUGGUGGUACCCAAAAGUGGGCCAAAGGCUUUGGCAUAUAUCUGUGUUUUCUGCCCUCUUGAAAAAAUGCCCUAUUUUCUCAGGCUUGCUUUUACACUUGGUAAAAAUUCUCUUCUUUGACCUUAGGUUUACACAUCUCACAUUUUCCAGGUGCUUUCUCUGAUGAUAUUUUUAUUGGUGUAUUUGUGGUAAGUGUGUUCUUGAAUGUCCCACAGAGUCGGCCAGAUAUACAUUCUGUUACUGCUCUCAGUGCAGAUGAAAGCUUCAAAGAAAGGGUAAUUUUCAGUGCUGAAGGUAUUAUACUUAGAGCUGCAACAGCUGGGAGAUGCAUCUGAGGGGAGCACUUGCUCAUCCCACAGCAAACCUAUAGGUUUAAUCCUGAAUCCAUAUACACAGUUUUGAUAAGGAAGCUUAGGUAUUGGGUAGAGGAUAGGAAAUAAUAGUUGUUCCAGAAUGGUGUGGACAUAGGUCCUGUCCUGUGUAUUCCAAACCAGAAGUGUUUUUCCUGCACUGCCCAUCUCUGUCUGCAUGACUGAGUCUUAUUUGUUCUACUGGGAUCCCUCUUGUUCCUGUGCAGCUGUAGCUGUAAGAGCUGACAUUUGCUGAUGAGCCACUUCUAAUUCAAAAAUUAGAAGAUUAACAAUGAGAUAAUUCAGCUAUCACAUUUAUGUAUUUGUUUAUACUCUUCUCUCAUUCACUGUAAUUACAUCAGUAUCUGCUGAAGGUUUCAGCAUCCCUACCCUCACUACUUUUCUGUCAAGGCAAUAUUUAUCUGCAGAGAAAGGUGUCAGUGAGAAAGCAGGAUUUCCUAUAUGUCUGAGGACAGACCUGUUUUGUGUGCUGCAUUUGAUGGUAGUCAGUCACGUGCCCAGAGACGGGUACAAAAGAGGUUAGCAAACAGUCGCUUUGCAGGCAUUUGUUGCUCAGGGGUUUUCUGAGGCAAUUAGCCUGCAGUAGUCAUUUGUUGCAUUUAUUUGUUGUUCCCAAUCAAGUAGGUUCUGGUAUAUGCCACAGUGUCUGGCGACACGUUUUUUUCUCUGUGCAACAUGUGAAGAACAACUUCUUGUUUGCUUUUUUUAACUUGCCACUCACUAAUUGCAUUGGAUGUAUUUUGGAUCAUGUUCCGACAAAGCCAAUAUCCUCUUUUUCUCCAUGCAACUUUUUGUUCAGUGGGACCGUGUCAACUUUUCCUCCAGCAUCUCUCUGCCUUCCCCACAUCUUAGUCACGCCAGGGACUUUGUACUGAUUUUUGAUGCUAUUUUUGGUGUGUGAUGUGAUAGUCCUAAUUUCUAGCUAAAGAGCAUCUACCAAUGAUUAUGUACAGUGUUCCUUAAAGUAACAAAAAAUCACUAGCGUGGCAUGUUCUGGUUUGCGUGUCUCCAUAUAUGAUGGAGAGCUUUGUUCAGAGUUCUGGCUGUAAAUUCAUACCAGUACCCUAAAUCCCCGCUAUCAGUGUCUUUGGGGUGAAACCCAGUCCUUGUGUCAGAAUAAUCCCUCCUCGCGCAAUCAUGUUGCCCUCUGUUGGUUAGCUUUGAUUCAGAAUGUUCCCAGGCUCGCUAAUUACCAGAGGGCUUAUUUAAAUUCCUGUGGAAGAGGCCUCAGUGUUUUACUCUGCAAUGCUCUGGUUCCUGUGCUGGCUGAGGGGUGCAUCCGUGCUUUCAGAGGAAAGGGUGGAAGCCUCUUUGUAGGUUGUGGUUGCAACCGUGUUCAUUUAUAAAGCUGGGUUUGAUUUCUCUUAACGAACACACAUUUUAAGGUCUGGAAUUCGUCGGUGUCAAGGUCAGUUAUUGAGAAGUUUGCAUUGCCUUUUUUUGAAGAAUUGAUCUGAAAGCAGCUAGAAUCAGAACUUCUUUUCCUGUGGGUUCAAUGUUUAUGUGCACGUAGGUUCCCAGUGGAUUCACAGGGAUGCCUGGUAAAGCCAGAUGGCACAAAAAAAGCCUACAGAAAGAAAAGAAGGCAAAAAGAAUGCUAGUUGCAUAGGGAGAUAUGAAAAACCUCUCCCUCUAAAUGCUGGAAAAUGGUUUUAUUAUAAACACAGAUAAUCUGAUGAAUUGAAAGGUUGGUGAGGAAGGAAGAUGAGAAUUUUUGGGGGCAGUAGAACAUUUUUCUUGUUGACUGAUUAAUCUGGAACUGCUCUGAAUGCAAAUGGAUUUCUGGGAUCCUCCCACUUUCUCAAAUACAUUCUGACUGCAUCUGACUGGUAAUGUGUUCAGGAUGAUUUUCUCAUAAGAUACAACUGAAGACCAAAGGUGAAGGAGGAAGACCGUGGCAGAGCUAGGACUAGCUUUCUUCUUUAGAGGGGUGAAUUGGAACGCUGGUCAGCAUGCUGCAGUGACUUGCAGACACGUUCAUCAAAGUCCUUGUACCUAAAUAGGCUAUGGAUGUGAGUAAUGCUUAUUUCUUCUCUGUUAUAAAAUGCUUGAGAUCUGUGGUUGGGAAACCAAGCACGUAAGUGCAGUCUACUGUUAUUGAUAGGAAUGAGUUUCAGAUGGCACAGCUGAAAAUGUGUCCCCUACUUUUCCUGGGAUGCUCUAUGGAUCAGACUCUAAGCAAAAACCAAGAAACCUGCUUCAGUUGGCACAGAUACUUGAUAUAAUAUGAUGAUUGGUUAGAGAUACUACCUGAUGGUAGUAGGUAAUACAGCUAAAUAUUACCAAAUAAUAGUAAUAAUGUUAAUAAAUCCACUUACAUAAAAGAAAAUAAAUAAGAGAACCCUGAAAUAAUAAUAACAAAAUCUUAAUCUUUUUAUGCUUCCAGAAUGAAGACGAUGUGGUCUCUUGGCACAAGAAUUUAUGAAACAACCCAUAAAGACCCACGGUACAGCAAUCUAAGGAGCAAACUCAAGAUGUUUGAUUGAGCAAUGCGUGUGCAUUUAUUCACACCUGGAAAGAACAGCUUUCUGUGUCAUUACAUGCAGUGUGAGAAUUUCAUGUAUUGAUCUCUGUAUAUACAUCACCUGAGGUUCCUUUAUUCUCUUGGUAAAACUUGCCAGGUGUGAUGCUGUUUGGAGGUCCUUUCUGUACCAGAUGAGGCACUGAGUGUUGAAGCAAGCAUCCCUCCUGGCCUUGGUAAGCAGCAAUACCUCUGCAGAUACAUAGAGAAGUCAAAGGCUGCCUUCCUUCAUGUUGGAGUGAGGAAAGACAUCUGGUUCUUCUAUUACUUUUCAGUUGGCUCUUUGCUUUUAUUACUGCCUACUACAGAGGUAGCCAAAAAUUGGUGUUUAAUACAUUAAUGCAGAUGUUAAACCAAAAAUAGCUCCUGUUUUGCAUCUGAGGAUUUCAAUUUGGGGUCACCUGUGGGUGGAAGUGAAGCUACUUUUUAGUCACGUACAAUAGAACUCCUCAGUUGCUUACGGUUAAUGUGGACCUGAUAUGUACUUCCAACGCCCUGCCCUGUCUCUUUGAGCAGGCACAAAGACCUCAGUUUGUAAUGGAAACUGAUAACAUCAGUUACUGACAACUCUCAUUUGUUUGCAGUUUCGGGCCUUGUCUAGAGAUACAGUACUGCUGCCUAAAGCUGUUAAGCUUAACCAAAGCCAUGGAUGUGACUGUUAUUUGGCAGAUAAAAGGAGUGAAAGGAAGGAGAGAAGAUAGCAGUGUGGUGUCUUUUUACUUUCUUUACAGUCUGCUUAAAUUUCUCAUCUGCUGUAAACCUCAGACUGAAAUUCUGCAGCGUGGGGAUGCACCGAAGUAGUGCUGGAUAAUAACUUAAUAAAAUAGAAGUAACGAAAGGGGAAUAAAAUAGCUCCCAAACAGUUAAGAGUGGGAUUCUGGUUUGUGUUGGAUCCUUGUCCUGAAAGCUUGGAGUGCUCAGAUCCACCUGAAGGAUCAAAAGUGUCCUCAAGCCCUUAAAUAGAUGACUCGGAAAUAGCUGAAAUGUGUUUCAUUUUAUGGUAAGUUUAAUGUUUCCAAUCUCAGUGCAAUUUACAAUUACAAUAAAUAUCACCAAAAAAUUAAUGUGGCCACUUCAAAUACAAAGGAACGACAGAGUGUAAUCUGAGAAAAUUUUAUCAACAUGCAAUUUCCUUAACAAAAACACCAAUGUAUCAUUUCAGCAUGCUGAGAAAUAUUUAUCUUUUGGGACAGCAAAAUCAUUUGCAGAACGUUUUAACUGCUAAAUAAAUAUUUUACUGGCAACUUCUGAGGCAUCAUAAAUGCAGUCAAUAUAAACAAAGCAAUGUGGAAUCCAGCUCCGGUCUCAGCUGCAAUGACUGUUGGCCACUUCGUGGUAACACAGGGCUCUGGGAUGCAUUUGGCACAGUCUCAGCAUUUCAAAUAUCUGAUUUGUUGGGUUUUUUGUUUUUUUUCCCCUGCUAUAUAAGCAAGUUUGCUUAGUUUAUCUGAAGGCUCUGGCAAUGGAAGGCACGGCGAGCUUUCAGUAUUAGGGAUGCAACUGUUUAGCAUUUAACAGAAACUCGUCUUUUCACAGUUAAAUCACAUUUUUUUUUAAUUGAAUCCUGUGCUUAUGAAAAAUACUGGAUCUGCAGCCUCAGACUGUCUGCUUGGCUGCAGAACAAGAACAUCAUGGCCAUGCUUGCUUGAACUUCCUCGUGGGCCCCUGCCAACGCGCUUCACCUCUGACCUGUAGCUGAGUUUUUAAAUGUCUUUUUUAUCUGUAGUCUCUUCCCAGACCGCCCCACUGAAAUGGCACUUCUAAGGAUGAUUUCAGCAAGUUUCAUCUGUGCACUGGAAGCAGAAACUUGUUGCAUGGAGGCAGCUGAAGAAUCACUUAUUCAUUACCAUGAGCGUCACUGCAGUCUUUACUGUCAAGGACUGCCGGUCACAUUUCCUCACAUCAACUCUGGGACAGAGCUAUGAUUUGUUGUAUUGCUAUUGGCCAUUUUAAGUGAUAGCUACCUGACUAAGCUAGGUAAUAAUUGCCUAUUUGUCACUAUAGGUGCUCACUUUGUGUUAUUUGUGUCUAAUAUACAAUGGCAUUAUGCUCCUAUUGAAUAUUUAUUGAAAAGCACAUCAAAUAUUUGAAGGCCUAUAAAUGUGUUCAUCUUCUGAAUUUAUCGAAGGAUCUCUGUUGACAGUCAUUGGUUUCAGUGCUGUAGUGGUUUCUUGCCUGCUCUAAUGUGGUGUUCUACCUGUUUGCCAGACAUUGCUGUUAAGCAAGUAACUGGUGAUAGCUGGAUAUCCUUCCAAGCUUAGGAAGAAGUUAUUGGCUGAAGCUGUUCUCCUUAUUAAUUUGACUCCUCAGAUUUAUGUGUCUGCAAAUGAUUUUCUUCUUAUCUCUGGCGGCUCCAGAAGAUAAUCCAGAAAUUAACUUUUCCUUGUAAAGAACUUCAUAGGAUGUUUUAGGAAAACGUGAAUAAGUAAAUGCUUAGUAGGUAGUUUGAGAUACCCUCAGCUCCUCUGGAUGCAAAGCAUUUACCACUGUGAUCUGACUUCUGUCAGUUCUCCAGGAGUGUUACUAUCUUUGCACAUUCAUCUCCUACUUCUAAAGAGAUCUUUUAGCACACAAAGCAGGAAAUGUAAGAAAACAGACAGGAUUUCCAAAGACAAGUUAGUCAUUUCACUGCAGAGUCUGGCCUUUGUUCCACGUCCAUAACAAGGCAGUGGUCUUUAAAACACGGUUGAAAAUUAGAGGAGAUGGCAUAAACGUUUGGUAAUUGCAGAGAGCCAGGGUGGUUCCUGCGUGGGCUGUUAGUCAGUGGCUGAAAACUGCUGCAGAAUGCAGUCUGUUGCUUGCUUAAUGCACAAUGAGCGUUCUCUGCAUAAGUAUCUUAAUUCACACAUCUAAAGGAACUCAGCCUGGGUUUAGCUGGGUACUUGUUAGCAACUUCUUCAGAAAUAAAGGGGUGGAAACUGUACCAUCAUCUGUGGCUGGAAGGUGAAGAUUUACUUAAAGCACUUCGGCUGAGGGGCAUCGAGAAAUGAGCACUGCUGCUGCCUGCAGGAGAGGACUCCAGCACUGCAGGGACACAGAACCUCAGGGAAGUCAUGCUGAGGAAAUGAUUCAUUUAACCUGCAGCUAUAUCGUUUGUAGAAGGUAAAGGCAAUAGGUGUGAAGAAAUGUUUGCUCAGAUCUGUGCUUUAUAUAGGUUCCAUCCUGGAUAACGUAUAUGAUAAUAUACUGAUAUGAGUAUAUCUCCUCUACAGCAUGCCAUGUUCUGACGUACUUGGGUGGCAUUUAGUGUACAGAUUACUCCUCCAUUCACAGACGUGGACUUUCCCUAGGUUAUCCACAUGUUCUGUAUUACGUUUCAGGGCUCACAGUUUAAUCUUUUCAUAAAUAAAGCUGUAGCCUUUUCUGGUAGCGAGAGAGGAAGCGAGGAAGAUUCCCUGCCCUUGAGGACCGAGCGUGGCUCUCAGUCCCCAGAAGGCUGGGAUUUUGUGCUGGCUAUUACCAAGUGUAAAAUGAAACACCUGUGUGCAGCAGCAUGCCAAGGCUGAGCCACCUGCAGCACACCUGCUAACUGCCUCACUGCAGUCGGGUCUGGGCAACGUGACAUCAUCUGAUUUCAUAUCUGUAAUUGAACAAAAGGUACGGGCUAUAGCUGAGCUCUUAUCCAAAAAAGAAGAGUUAACGCUGUAAAUACGCGUCUCUGUAAACAGAGAAACUUCUUUCCUGUUCUCAUUGAAUGGCAUGCUGUGAAACCAGAGUUGGCUGGAAACUUCUAGAAGCAGCUUGCUGGGGGCUGGGUUCGGCUGUGCCUCUGAAUGCCUCCGAGCAGGAAGCAGCUGGGUAACACUCCAGGUGAUUGCGCCCAUUGACUCCAUUUUCUCUCUCUAUUUGGAGUGUAGCAGUGGGUGAUACAUUUGCCUGCUGUCUGAGCUUAGUUCUCAAAGCUGGGAGCGGAGUUCACUUUGCCUCUGGAGCAGGACGUAACCCGGUCUCACACGAGGCACUGAAUGUCUACCACAGACUCGUGAGGUUUAGGUUUUUUAGCAGUGUAUCUGGAGGAUAGAAAUCUUCCAGUUUUUUAGCAGCUUUGAGGAGUAAGCAGUUUCCCCCCAGCGUGAUUAAAAACAUCAGAAGAAUGCUGCAUCAUAAAGCGAAGGAUGGAGGUACGUUUAUUUCACUUAUAAUGCAUCUUUCAGACGUGACUGGGAAAUACAUUCUCGUGUUCAGAAUUGGGUAUAAAAGCAGAGGCAGAAGUUUACUCAGUCCAAAAAUCCCUUUAAAUAGCCUACGUUGCUAAGGUUUUUUGGUAGUAACUGCAAUUUAAUCCUUGCUUAAAAGGGCUUUUUUUUUCUUUGAUUAAUUGAACACACAGGAAGAAGCCGACAAUGCUGUUCCUCCCAAAAAGAAACAGCUAUUUUUAGGGGUUUGCUUAAAUUUUAGGUUGCUUUGUUCCUGUUAAAUCUCAGCCUUGACUUUGGCAAAAAAUCCUGUGUUAAAAGCACGCUCUGAAGUCCGGGGUCUCCAGCAGGGCUCGGAAUGAUGCACGUGCUUCAGGGCUUGGCUGAAUCCAUUUUAAGGAUGUGUUUUACAGACUUGAGGCUAGCAGUGCUUGGUAGACGAUGACCAAGAUUCUUGCCUUUACAGGGCGUAGGGUGGGGUUUAGAGCCAGCUCUGCCUUAAUAAUAAAGGGUUGGGUAAUAUUAGGCUUAACUGGUAAUGCUAGGUAUUACCCAAUUAAUAUUGGAUUUAAUGAAAACUACUGAAUAGGGCAUUCUAAUAAUUGUACCUAACUGAAUGCUCUUCUUGUUGUUUCAGAUAAUUUAGGGGUUAAUGCUUAUUGUGAGCACAUUAUUGUAAGGGUUUUUUAAAGAAAUGUUUUUUUUUUCUUGUCUUAACAUCUUGAGUUUCAACUGUUCUUUUCAUUUCAUGCUAUCAUUAUCCAGCAGGACUAGAAAUAGGUGCAGACAAUGAGAUGUACAUGUGCACACAGGUUAGCUGCUAUAUUGUUAUGUAGCCUUCUGACUGUGGCUUCUGAGAAUCAGGCUGACGGAGCUCCACAUAUUUUCCCCUUGAAACAGAUUGUUUGUGAAACUGCAGAGAAUGGUGAAUAAUUUGCACCAAUUAAAAAUGACAGUUCUGCCUGUUCCCUUAUUCCAGGGAGCACUGUUGUGCUGAUCUUCUGAUACUUCCAGGCUUUGGGUUGUUUUUGUUUUUUUUUUUUGCCCUUUUCCUUUCUUUUAUUAUGCAUAGGUUGAUACCUGUUAACUGCGUCUCCCUGCAAAAUAAUAAUAAUAAAUACAUAUAUAUAUACACAUUCCUGUUGGUUUUUGCGGAGUAGAGUCCUUAGAUUUUCUUUCUUUCUUUUUUUAGUUUUGCUGUUGUUGUACUCUCCAGUAUUGGCUGGUCAACCACAACACCAAUAAGUGGUGCAGAACUCUGCUUCUGUGGGUAUGAUGCCAAAAGCAGCCAACUUGGUGCCUUACGUAGGGAUUAGUUAAGCUUGUUAGAGAUGUUUGUGCAAAUGGGACUUUUGGGUCUUGUAGAGACUUACCAAAAUGGUGGCCUAAUUAUGAACUGUUUCCAUUUUCAAGAUCACGUUUUCUGAAAUGAAGUGAAGGAAUAGCGGAGCUGAAGAUGAAAGAUAUGGAGAUGUGCAAACUGAUGUGUUGGUUAUUUAUAGGGGGAUCUUUAGUGUUUGCUAACUGGAACAAAAAAGGCGUAGCAUUUGCAUGUACCCUUUGUUGCAAGCACAUUGUUUAUGCAGAAGAAAAUGGUCUGUGUUUGUCUUUGUAAAGGUUGAUGUUGCUAUUAAGAUUUCAAGAGUGACCACUGGAAAAAAAGAAUUUAGAAAGUAAGAGGAACAUAUGGGACACCUGUCUUUGGAAGUAUUGGCUCAUAGGCAGGCCUGCUCUUUGGCCAUGGCAACAAGCAACUUGACAGAAGUUUGAUUUCUUUCCAAAAUCCCUCUUUGCUGCAAUGAAAUAUUGCUGUUUUCUUAUUUUUCAACCUCUGUUCUACGGAAACAAGACCUACACGAGCGCAUUGUCUAUCAGCCUUUCUAAUUCGUGUCAGUUCCAGCACCUUUUGAGAAGCCAUUAACCACUGUGGCUGUGUGAGCAUGUAGUGAACUUGCUGGUAAGCUCUGUUCCCAUUGAAACCGGGGCAAAGUAGAAUUGCAGAAGAAUACAGAACAGAAAGCCACAGGAAACCAAACUUCAUUAGGUUAUUGACCAACUGGAGGGUCUGCUUUUUUUUACUUUUCUUUUGUGUGUGAGGAUGGUAGAAUUAAGAAGGAAGAGAAUUUGUUUUCCCAUCUGUUUCCUCUAGCUCCAAAUUUCUCUCUUUGUUUCUAGUCAGAAAAUACCAAAUUCAUUAAAAUAACUCUGUGUAUGUGGGACUGAAUUUCUGAACUGUGUGACUUGGUACAUGUUGCCCAAUUGUCUUUUCUAUUAGUUAUGAAACCAAACACACCAAAAAACAACAGCAAACAAAAAAGAAAAACACACACACAAAAAAAACCUGAAACCCCCCAAAGUUCCAAACCAAUCAUCAUAAUGCUCAAGGUAAAAGAUAACUGACAGGUAGCAUAGAUAACAGGCAGUAUUGUGACCGUUCUUGGAGAUGAGAACUUUCUACUUCAUCUUGAUAUUACAGAUUGUAACAUGAAGAAGUAUGAUUAAUCAAAUUGGAAAAACUUUCAAAAGUUGCACAGGAUGAAAGGAAGCAGCAGCUUGAUUUCUAUUCUAAAAUACAUCCAUUAUAUUUCCAUGCUCUGUUUAGCUGUUGACUUUCAGGCUUUAGAUAAAACCUGCAGUUUUACCUAACAGUUUUACCCAGCAGCUGAUUGUUAAGUGGCAGAGAUCGAACAUAUAGUUCCCAUUGCUUGCAGAAGCCAGUAGGAUUGGUAAAUGACACGUUUUGCUGCACCAAUUCAACGUUUGUAUGUAAAAAAUAAUGUCACCUGCACUGGCACUACGUUACUGGAAGUGCUAAGGCAGGAGGGGAUCAACGACUGAGUUGGUUUGUGCAAGUAUGAAUUUAAAUCACCUUGUGUGUCAGGUUGGUUAACACGUCGUGUUUUCUGGCUGAUAUAUUCCAAGCCUUACACUUCAAACAUUGUAUUUAUCAACCCUUUAUUAAAUAUACAAAACAAGACCGCUCUCGCCAAAGUCUGUCACAACCCAUUUUGUUGUCGCUGUGCAUUUUGGUAUAUGUGGAGGAAUGAGAGCCCAAGCCGCAAAGUCAGCUUGUUUUAGCCUCAAUGGCUUUUUAAAAACCCUGCAGCUUAAAAUAAUACAUUAUUAAGGCAUUCAGACUUGUCAAAAUUAAUAAUUAAUAUCCCAUUUAUGUUCCCCACGCAUACACAGAGUCUUUCAUUCAGUUCAGUUGCUGCACCAAGGCAGUGCUAUCUGUACUGCAGCCAAGUGGCUGCACAUUGCAGCCUUUUCACAUGGCAGAAGUGCAUCUGGGAGCUUGGGUUGUCAGCUCAGGGCUUCUGUCUUCUGAAUCCAUAAUGCACAGAUGUGUUUCCUUACAGAAGGUUAUAUAACAUCAGUCUUCAGCUGCUGCUUUGUAAGUUAUCUCAGUUUGUAUGUGAUCCGAUAGCCUAAUAUUAAUAUUAUUAAUGACAGUUUUAAGAGUUUUAUAAACAGUGUUUGAUCCUGGGGGAACUUGCUUCUUGUGAUAAGGGGGUCAUUUAACAGGUGGUUAUGGAUGUUAUUCAGACUUAUUGUAAGACUAUAGGACUAUUCUAAUAACAUACUUACGAAGCAUCACAUUGUGUCUUCUGUUAGAAGACCACAGAGACCACGUCUUGCAGAACUAUUUCAGUUUCUGAAGUCAGUGCUCAGUGUGUACAGAGCCCAGAAAUUGCACUGGGAAUGACAGAAACCUCAGCAAGAAUAAGGUAAACAGUUCAGACUAAGGAUUGCCAAAGACAGCAGAAGAAUGGGCCUGGGCUCUGCGUCUGAGUUACCAUGUAGGCAGCACUUAAAAACCAACCAACCAACAAAAUCCACCAAAAAAAACAGCAAGAAAUAAAACCCAAACAAACAAACAAACAAAAACCUGUACAAAAUCCCAACCAAUCAACUGGAAAACCCUCAAAAAUAAUAAUAAUAAUAAAAGAGGAGUUAAGUUUUUGUAUCAGCAUAGUAAUUCACGCAGAACGGGUAGGAUUAACAGUUGAUGGGAUAUUCUCAAUACCUUUAUUUUUAUUUUCAAGAUUAUGCAUUCCUAAUUUAUCCACCAUUUAAAACUGUAGAUGCAUUUGAGUAGUUUUCAAAUAAAUAGAACCUAUUAUUUGGCUUUUUGCAAUGUUCUUCUCCCUUGAGAUGCCAUGAACAUUUCCAUGUGUUUGACUUUUUUUGGGGUUUGUUUUUCCUGGGAGUUAAAAUAUAUAUACAUAUAUAUGGGGAACAAUGCAAAGAG
ensembl:lncRNA